AUUUGAGGGCUGCACCGUUAUGCAUGGGCAAUAUCGUUUGGACAGAACCUUUACCGAAUGUCUUAGUACCAAGAAUUACCGCCCGGUCGUGAUCCUGAAGCGCGCCGGCCACAAUCUCGGCCGCAGAAGCAGAACCCCCGUUCACCAGCACUACCAUCGCGGCACCGCCCAGGUAGUCCUUUGGCGUCGCGUUGAAAGUGAUUCUCGAAUCCUCUGUACGUCCGCGCGUCGACACGAUCACCCCCUGGCGAAGAAAAACAUCGCUGACAUCAACUGCGCCUUCCAGGACACCCCCUGGAUUAUUACGC
rnacentral:ncRNA from 1 species